UGGGAGAUGAUAGCCAGAAACCAGGCU
rnacentral:piRNA from 1 species